UACAGAGGGUGCAAGCGUUGUCCGGAUUUAUUGGGCUUAAAGGGUGCGUAGGCGGCUCUUUAAGUCAGUGGUGAAAUACUGCAGCUCAACUGUAGCAUUGCCAUUGAUACUGAAGAGCUUGAGUACAGAUGAGGUAGGCGGAAUUUAUGGUGUAGCGGUGAAAUGCAUAGAUACCAUAAAGAACACCUAUUGCGAAGGCAGCUUACUAAGCUGUAACUGACGCUGAGGCACGAAAGCGUGGGGAGCGAACAGG
rnacentral:rRNA from 1 species